GGCUGUGGCAUAGGCCAGCAGCUGCAGCUCCAAUUUAACCCCUAACCUGGAAGCUUCCAUAUGUAGCAAGUGUGGCCCUAAAGAGCAAAAAGAAACUCAAGCGUUUUUUGUUGUUGUUUUUUUUUUCAGAAAUUAAUCAAUGGAUAAUAAUCAUCAUAGAGAUCAACCCCAAAUGUCCACUAAUUGGGAAAUGGUUACAUAAUUUGGUCAGUUAUCCAGUAGAAUUUAUGUCAUUAAAAUCAUGUUUUCAUGAUUAUAAUGUAAAUACAAAUAUAGUAUAAAAUAAGACAGGAAAUGUUGUCAGUAUAUUACAUGAAAAAAAUCAGUUUACAAAACAGUCACUUAUUAAAAAUGCAGAAAAAUACAACAAAAUAAAAAGGCUGCUUUUCUCUGGGAGGUGUGUUUUCUGUUUUUUAGAUUUUCUGCAGAGAACAUGUAUUGAUUUUAUAAUUUGGGAAAAGACCUGUUCAUGAAAUUAAGGAAAAACUAGCUUUCUGGAUAUGGUUCAGAAAACGGGGAAAAAAGGACUUGAGGUUGAUACUGGGCUCCAAGUAAGUAUCAACUGAAAUGUGUAACUUCAUGAUGAUAGUCUCAGACUCGAUUAUACAAAUUCAAUUUUGGAAGUUUAAAAUUAUUCUUAUAUUAUAGAAAGCCAGUAAAUUCCUGGUUUUAUUAUACUCGUUUAUGUGUAAACUGAUUUUAAUUUUAAAAUAUUUUGCAAAGUAGCAUGGAUUUGGCACUUGACAGUGAUGAAACAGAGCAAAGGCCAGAAAUUUUUCUGGACACAAAUAUUUCUGAGAACUUAGUGUGUGAUAAUGGGUGCUACCUGUCCUAUCAGUAGGGAAAAGAAGAAUUCUUUAAUAAACAGUAUCGAGAUAGCCACUGGGUCAUCUGGAAGAAUAAAAACUUGGCUUCCAGGUGAAUAAGAAGAUUGAAAUAUGAAAACAGGGAGUUCUUGUCACUCAGCAGGCUAAGAAUCAGACUAGUGUCCAUGAGGAUGAGGGUUUGAUCCUUGGACUUGCUCUGUGGGUUAAAGAGGGUCCAGCGUUGCUGCGGGCUGUGGUGUAGGUCACAGACACAGCUCCGCUCUGGCAUUGCUGUGGCUGUGGUGUAGGCCAGUUGGUGCAGCUCUGAUUAGAACCCUAACCUGGGAACUUCCAUAUGCUGCGAGUGGGGUCCUAAAAAAAAAAUAGAAUGAUGAAGUAUAGAACAUGGAUAUUAGUCAAAUUUGUUUCCACUGGGCCAUGAUGGGAACUCCCGUGAAGUAUAAAACAAAUGAAGCCAGAUUGCUGAAUUUUAUAAACUCUAUAGAGGGAAAAAAAAUCACAGAAUUAAAAGAGAAAUAGACUAGUACAACUUGUAUCCUUUUCACAAAGGACUAAUUUCCUCUUAAUGUACAAAGAGCUCCUAGAAAAUUAUCCAGUGGAAAAAAAAUGAGCAAAGAGAAUUUGUAUGAAAAGAUGUGCAAUUUUUAUUAUAUUGAAGAUAUAAAUUAAAGCUACAACAUACGAUUUAUCACCUAUCUAAUUAGGAAAGAUUGAUUACCUAGUAUAACUUGGGGAGGGUGAGAGAAAGAAAAAAUGGGUGUUCUCAUAUAUUGCUGGUGGGAAUAAAAAAUGUUCAUUUUCUGUGGAAAGCAGUUUGAAAAUGCAUGUAUAUUUUGAUGUAGCAACUUCAUUCAAGGAUUUUAUCCCCUUGAAGAUUAUAUAUAUGUGGUUAAAUAAGCAUGUAAAAAUAUUUGUGACAGCAUUGUUUGUCAUUGCAAAAGAUUGAAAACAGUCUAGACAUCAAUCAGUAGGGGAGUGGUUAAGUAAAUUUGGUAUAUCUCUUCAAAGGAAUACUAGGCAACCCUCAAAAUAAUGAGGCAAAUCUAUUCAUUGGAAUACUAGGCAAUUCUCAAAGUAAUGAGGCAAGACUAUGUGUACUGCUAUGGUACCAUGUCUAAGAUAUAU
ensembl:lncRNA